ACAAGAAUGACUCUUGACAACGGAUAUCUCGGCUCUCGCAUCGAUGAAGAACGUAGCGAAAUGCGAUACUUGGUGUGAAUUGCAGAAUCCCGUGAACCAUCGAGUCUUUGAACGCAAGUUGCACCCGAAGCCGUUAGGUUGAGGGCACGUCUGUCUGGAUGUCACAC
rnacentral:rRNA from 1 species